CGCAUCUGUGCAUGCAGCAUAUCAAUAAGCGGAGGAAAAGAAACUAACAAGGAUUCCCCUAGUAACGGCGAGUGAAGCGGGAAGAGCUCAAAUUUGAAAUCUUAAAGGGUUUCCCUUUACGAAUUGUAGUUUAAAGAAGUGUUUUCUGUUGAGGUUUUGGUAAAAGUUCUUUGGAAUAGGACAUCAUAGAGGGUGAGAAUCCCGUAUUUGACCUUUACUUUCAACUUUGUGAUACACUUUCAAAGAGUCGGAUUGUUUGGGAAUGCAGUCCAAAAUGGGUGGUAAAUUUCAUCUAAAGCUAAAUAUUGGCGAGAGACCGAUAGCGAACAAGUACCGUGAGGGAAAGAUGAAAAGAACUUUGAAAAGAGAGUUAAACAGUACGUGAAAUUGUCAAAAGGGAAGCGUUUGACACCAGUGUUGUUUUUCUGAAAAUCAAUUAAAGAACUGUUUAUGCUAAGCUGUUUAGACUUUAUCAGCUAUCUGUUUAGUUUUGAGCUUUUCUUAAUGCACUUUUCAGUUAACAAGUCAACAUCAAUUUCUUUUGCUGUAAAAAAGCUUGAGGAAGGUGGCUUGAGAUUCGUCUUAAGUGUUUAUAGCCUCUUGCCUAUGCAGUCGGAGAGAUUGAGGUCUGCAGCGUAGAUCCUUCGGGGCUAAAUGCAUUUGUGCUAAGUUAUAGCAUUUUAUAGACAACUUGUUGACUAUGAUUUGUCUUGUAGCUUACUCGCUUAUGUUAUUUUACCUACGCUUAGGAUGUUGAAUCUGUGCGAGACUAC
rnacentral:rRNA from 1 species